UUAAGCGACUAAGCGUACACGGUGGAUGCCCUGGCAGUCAGAGGCGAUGAAGGACGUGCUAAUCUGCGAUAAGCGUCGGUAAGGUGAUAUGAACCGUUAUAACCGGCGAUUUCCGAAUGGGGAAACCCAGUGUGAUUCGUCACACUAUCAUUAACUGAAUCCAUAGGUUAAUGAGGCGAACCGGGGGAACUGAAACAUCUAAGUACCCCGAGGAAAAGAAAUCAACCGAGAUUCCCCCAGUAGCGGCGAGCGAACGGGGAGGAGCCCAGAGCCUGAAUCAGUGUGUGUGUUAGUGGAAGCGUCUGGAAAGGCGCGCGAUACAGGGUGACAGCCCCGUACACAAAAAUGCACAUGCUGUGAGCUCGAUGAGUAGGGCGGGACACGUGGUAUCCUGUCUGAAUAUGGGGGGACCAUCCUCCAAGGCUAAAUACUCCUGACUGACCGAUAGUGAACCAGUACCGUGAGGGAAAGGCGAAAAGAACCCCGGCGAGGGGAGUGAAAAAGAACCUGAAACCGUGUACGUACAAGCAGUGGGAGCACAGAGCAAUCUGUGUGACUGCGUACCUUUUGUAUAAUGGGUCAGCGACUUAUAUUCUGUAGCAAGGUUAACCGAAUAGGGGAGCCGAAGGGAAACCGAGUCUUAACUGGGCGUUAAGUUGCAGGGUAUAGACCCGAAACCCGGUGAUCUAGCCAUGGGCAGGUUGAAGGUUGGGUAACACUAACUGGAGGACCGAACCGACUAAUGUUGAAAAAUUAGCGGAUGACUUGUGGCUGGGGGUGAAAGGCCAAUCAAACCGGGAGAUAGCUGGUUCUCCCCGAAAGCUAUUUAGGUAGCGCCUCGUGAAUUCAUCUCCGGGGGUAGAGCACUGUUUCGGCAAGGGGGUCAUCCCGACUUACCAACCCGAUGCAAACUGCGAAUACCGGAGAAUGUUAUCACGGGAGACACACGGCGGGUGCUAACGUCCGUCGUGAAGAGGGAAACAACCCAGACCGCCAGCUAAGGUCCCAAAGUCAUGGUUAAGUGGGAAACGAUGUGGGAAGGCCCAGACAGCCAGGAUGUUGGCUUAGAAGCAGCCAUCAUUUAAAGAAAGCGUAAUAGCUCACUGGUCGAGUCGGCCUGCGCGGAAGAUGUAACGGGGCUAAACCAUGCACCGAAGCUGCGGCAGCGACACUGUGUGUUGUUGGGUAGGGGAGCGUUCUGUAAGCCUGUGAAGGUGUGCUGUGAGGCAUGCUGGAGGUAUCAGAAGUGCGAAUGCUGACAUAAGUAACGAUAAAGCGGGUGAAAAGCCCGCUCGCCGGAAGACCAAGGGUUCCUGUCCAACGUUAAUCGGGGCAGGGUGAGUCGACCCCUAAGGCGAGGCCGAAAGGCGUAGUCGAUGGGAAACAGGUUAAUAUUCCUGUACUUGGUGUUACUGCGAAGGGGGGACGAGAAGGCUAUGUUGGCCGGGCGACGGUUGUCCCGGUUUAAGCGUGUAGGCUGGUUUUCCAGGCAAAUCCGGAAAAUCAAGGCUGAGGCGUGAUGACGAGGCACUACGGUGCUGAAGCAACAAAUGCCCUGCUUCCAGGAAAAGCCUCUAAGCAUCAGGUAACAUCAAAUCGUACCCCAAACCGACACAGGUGGUCAGGUAGAGAAUACCAAGGCGCUUGAGAGAACUCGGGUGAAGGAACUAGGCAAAAUGGUGCCGUAACUUCGGGAGAAGGCACGCUGAUAUGUAGGUGAAGUCCCUCGCGGAUGGAGCUGAAAUCAGUCGAAGAUACCAGCUGGCUGCAACUGUUUAUUAAAAACACAGCACUGUGCAAACACGAAAGUGGACGUAUACGGUGUGACGCCUGCCCGGUGCCGGAAGGUUAAUUGAUGGGGUCAGCGCAAGCGAAGCUCUUGAUCGAAGCCCCGGUAAACGGCGGCCGUAACUAUAACGGUCCUAAGGUAGCGAAAUUCCUUGUCGGGUAAGUUCCGACCUGCACGAAUGGCGUAAUGAUGGCCAGGCUGUCUCCACCCGAGACUCAGUGAAAUUGAACUCGCUGUGAAGAUGCAGUGUACCCGCGGCAAGACGGAAAGACCCCGUGAACCUUUACUAUAGCUUGACACUGAACAUUGAGCCUUGAUGUGUAGGAUAGGUGGGAGGCUUUGAAGUGUGGACGCCAGUCUGCAUGGAGCCGACCUUGAAAUACCACCCUUUAAUGUUUGAUGUUCUAACGUGGACCCGUGAUCCGGGUUGCGGACAGUGUCUGGUGGGUAGUUUGACUGGGCGGUCUCCUCCUAAAGAGUAACGGAGGAGCACGAAGGUUGGCUAAUCCUGGUCGGACAUCAGGAGGUUAGUGCAAUGGCAUAAGCCAGCUUGACUGCGAGCGUGACGGCGCGAGCAGGUGCGAAAGCAGGUCAUAGUGAUCCGGUGGUUCUGAAUGGAAGGGCCAUCGCUCAACGGAUAAAAGGUACUCCGGGGAUAACAGGCUGAUACCGCCCAAGAGUUCAUAUCGACGGCGGUGUUUGGCACCUCGAUGUCGGCUCAUCACAUCCUGGGGCUGAAGUAGGUCCCAAGGGUAUGGCUGUUCGCCAUUUAAAGUGGUACGCGAGCUGGGUUUAGAACGUCGUGAGACAGUUCGGUCCCUAUCUGCCGUGGGCGCUGGAGAACUGAGGGGGGCUGCUCCUAGUACGAGAGGACCGGAGUGGACGCAUCACUGGUGUUCGGGUUGUCAUGCCAAUGGCACUGCCCGGUAGCUAAAUGCGGAAGAGAUAAGUGCUGAAAGCAUCUAAGCACGAAACUUGCCCCGAGAUGAGUUCUCCCUGACCCUUUAAGGGUCCUGAAGGAACGUUGAAGACGACGACGUUGAUAGGCCGGGUGUGUAAGCGCAGCGAUGCGUUGAGCUAACCGGUACUAAUGAACCGUGAGGCUUAACCUU
rnacentral:rRNA from 1 species